CAAAUACUUAGGCAUACUGUAGAGAAGCUCAAGAGCCUGUGGGAAGGAUCCAAGGCUCCCAGCUCCCCAGUUCAAGUGAGCUCUCAGCUACCAGCCAUGUGACUGAGCCACAUUGAAAGUGGGGCCUCCAGCUCCCAUCUGGGCCAUGGCAGCUGACACCCCCCCAGGGGAGGGGUUCCCCUGUCCAGGUUGAAGAUUUCGAUCACCUGAGGUUGAUGACUGCCACAGAAAGGGUGGCCUGGCAUCUUAAAGGCUUGGAGGUUGAUGAACAUGUCAAAUAAGAUGGUUUCCAACUUUUUGGUGUGUUGCAAAGUGCUUUGGUGAACCACCUUCUGGAUGAUUCAUCAAUUCCACUCCUCCCGCCUACAGAUGUCUAAAUUUCAGUUUUCUGAGAAGCUACAAAGCGUGAAGUGGCAACUCCACAUUGAGUCAGAGGACACUGAGUGUUAAACUGUAAUACCGCCAAGAGUUUGGUGUCAACCCUCUUAACCUG